UUAGACAAGCCAUGGCAGCACUUGUCUUUUUAAAGGAUGUAUGCCCCCCACAUUCCCCUAUUUUUCAUCACUUUUCAUUUCUGAGAAAAAAAAAUGGCAUAGUUCCCCAUCACUGGAAAUGUCUCUUCUUUCAGGCCCUGCACCCACUGCUCUCAAUUUGGGACAACGGUAUUGGGGUGUCUGGAGGAGCUGCACAAACCAGAAGGGUGGUUUUGCUCUGGGUUUGAUGGGAAUGGACAGGAGGCAUGUGGAGCCCCGUAACCCUGAGCCCUUUGGCAGAGGCUGUGUCAGUUGGUGUCUGUACAACAACAGAUGGAAGGACAAAGCUGCAGAAGAGGUGGAGAGGACAGUUACCAUGAACAAAGUCUCAUCUGCAUCAGCUGCUGUGUCAAGUGGCAGAGCCUGGACCGGGGCCAGCACACCUGAGUGUGCUGGCAUCAAGGGAUGGGUGUUAUAGCCAAAACCACUGGUCCAACCUGAAGCAUUCCCUGCAUACACUGUUAUUGCAUGGUGAGUACAAAACCAUUCUACGGUCCAGAUGAACCUUUAAAGGUGGUUUCUGCUGAGGCCACCUUUCUCUGCUCAGCGUGUGCUCAGUUUUAAUGUAUCUUCAAAGGUUUCUUAGGCUUACUGGGUUGAGUACAGCUCAUAUAAGCUACCAGUUCUUCAACUCUGCACAUACAUACAGCAGAUGAUAGAGCAUGAAGUAGCUACACUGGAUCCACCACUAAAGACCAGGUUGGACAGGGCCUUUAGUGGCCUGGUCUAGUGUGAGAUGCCCCUGCCCAUGGCAAAGGGUUGGAACUGGAUAACCUUAAGGUCCUUUCCUACCAUAACCAUUCUGUGAUUCUAAUUCUCGGCUGGGCCGGGCCAUCUUCUCCAUAGGAGAAGGCUCAUAGAACUUCCUUGCAUUUGUCUGUGUCUCUGAGGAGUUGUAUGUGCUGAUGAGAACUACUUCAAAGUGUUUUGUUGAAUCUAUUUUUCAGUUAACUGAGUUUUUUGCUGGGUGUUUUGCCUCUGU